CAGAGAGAGUCAGGUGUUGUUUGUUGCAGGUAAAACAAAGGGCUGUUUCUAUCCUCCUCCGUACCUCGACGACUACGGAGAGACCGACCAGGGCCUCAAGCGGGGGAACCCCCUCCACCUGUGCGUGGAGCGUUACAGGAAGAUCGAGCGUCUUUGGCGUCAGCACGGUGUCGCUGAGGUCAUCGGUCACGCUCAGGAGGCCAAUCAGACGCUGGUUGCCAUCGACUGGCAGCACCUGUGAUGUUGGCCCCACCCCCUCUGCUCUCCAACAAUCAGCUUCCUGCGGCCCGGUGCUGAGCUCAGAUCAGCUUUCAGGGAUAUUUGACCUCUGACCUUUGACCUUGUCCAUGUUUUACUCCACCAAUCACAGAGAGGCAAUAGAUAGGCUCCACCCCUGAGCUCAUGUCACUCAGACGGGAAGUGACAAAUUUAUUUUAAGUUUUCUUUAAAUUUUAUUUUGGAGAUUUUCUGACAGGAAGUUUAGCAGUGAAGCCCCGCCCACAUGCAUGAUGGGGAAAAAGACGUCGACUCCUAGGGUGCAUUUCACCAACAGACAACCAAUCACAGAGCUUUACAGCUCCCACAGCUGCUUAGGCUCAUGGGUAGUGUAGUUUAAUAACUGAAGUCUUUUAUUGUGAAAUCUCCUGAUGUUUCCAUGGUAACAGAUGUUUGAGGAAACAGCUGGAGGCCGUGGUCGAUCAUAUUAACAACAUAUCAGCUGCGUGUCGCCAAGGAAACGGGCCGCCAUCACAUCACCUUUCAGUGUCAUCGUUCAAAGAGGCCGUGUGAUGUCACUUCCUGUCAACUGGAGUUGUUUUUAGGAGUUUGUGCUGAAACGUGACGCGGACGCAGACACACAUCGUCUCUGUUUAUUUAUUUAUUUAUUAGUUUAUCAGAUUGUUUUCCUGCAGCGUGUCGUCGCCGCCGUCGCCGUGGUUACUUUGUGAAUAUGUGAAUUCUGUAAACAGGAAAUGAACCAUAUUGUUUAAGAACAACAAAAAAACAAUAAAAACUUAAAAAUCAGA